rnacentral:rRNA from 1 species
GUAGGUGGCAAGCGUUGUCCGGAAUUAUUGGGCGUAAAGCGCGCGCAGGUGGUUCCUUAAGUCUGAUGUGAAAGCCCACGGCUCAACCGUGGAGGGUCAUUGGAAACUGGGGAACUUGAGUGCAGAAGAGGAAAGUGGAAUUCCAAGUGUAGCGGUGAAAUGCGUAGAGAUUUGGAGGAACACCAGUGGCGAAGGCGACUUUCUGGUCUGUAACUGACACUGAGGCGCGAAAGCGUGGGGAGCAAACAGGAUU